ACUUGAGAGUUUGAUCAUGGCUCAGAACGUACGCUGGCGGCACGCCUAAUACAUGCAAGUCGAACGAAGUAGCAAUACUUAGUGGCAGACGGGUGAGUAACAUGUAGGUAUCUUCCCUUUGGUGAGGAAUAACACGAGGAAACUUGUGCUAAUACCUCAUAAGUCUUUACGGAGAAAGCUUUAUGCGCCAAUGGAUGAGCCUGCACUUGAUUAGUUUGUUGGUGGGGUAAUGGCCUACCAAGACUGUGAUCAAUAGCUGAUUUGAGAGGAUGAUCAGCCACAUUGGGACUGAGACACGGCCCAAACUCCUACGGGAGGCAGCAGUAGGGAAUAUUGCACAAUGGAGGAAACUCUGAUGCAGCGAUGCCGCGUGAGUGAAGAAGGCCCUUGGGUUGUAAAGCUCUUUCGUCGGGGAAGAAAAUGACUGUACCCGAAUAAGAAGGUCCGGCUAACUUCGUGCCAGCAGCCGCGGUAAUACGAAGGGACCUAGCGUAGUUCGGAAUUACUGGGCUUAAAGAGUUCGUAGGUGGUUAAAAAAGUUGGUUGUGAAAUCCCGGAGCUUAACUCCGGAACUGCAAUCAAAACUUUUUAGCUAGAGUAUGAUAGAGGAAAGCAGAAUUUCUAGUGUAGAGGUGAAAUUCGUAGAUAUUAGAAAGAAUACCAAUUGCGAAGGCAGCUUUCUGGAUCAUUACUGACACUGAGGAACGAAAGCAUGGGUAGCGAAGAGGAUUAGAUACCCUCGUAGUCCAUGCCGUAAACGAUGUGUGUUAGACGUUGGAAAUUUAUUUUUAGUGUCGCAGCGAAAGCAAUAAACACACCGCCUGGGGAGUACGACCGCAAGGUUAAAACUCAAAUGAAUUGACGGGGACCCGCACAAGUAGUGGAGCAUGUGGUUUAAUUCGAAGAUACGCGCAGAACCUUACCAACACUUGACAUGUUCGUCGCGACUCUAAGAGAUUAGAGUUUUCGGUUCGGCCGGACGAAACACAGGUGCUGCAUGGCUGUCGUCAGCUCGUGUCGUGAGAUGUUGGGUUAAGUCCCGCAACGAGCGCAACCCUCACUUUUAGUUGCCAUCAUUUAGUUGGGCACUCUGAAAGAACUGCCAGUGAUAAGCUGGAGGAAGGUGGGGAUGACGUCAAGUCCUCAUGGCCCUUACGUGUUGGGCUACACACGUGCUACAAUGGUAUCUACAACAGGAAGCAAGACGGCGACGUUAAGCAAAUCCUUAAAAGAUACCUCAGUUCGGAUUGCACUCUGCAACUCGAGUGCAUGAAGCUGGAAUUACUAGUAAUCGUGGAUCAGCGUGCCACGGUGAAUGCGUUCCCGGGUCUUGUACACACCGCCCGUCACACCAUGGGAGUUGGUUCUACCUUAAGG
rnacentral:rRNA from 1 species